GCUCCUGCAGCACAUACUGAAAUUGAAAUGAUACAGAGACGAUUAGCAUGGCCCUUCCACAAGGAUGACACAUGAAUUUGUGAUAUAUUCCAUAUUUUU
rnacentral:snRNA from 1 species